UACGUAGGGGGCUAGCGUUGUCCGGAAUCAUUGGGCGUAAAGCGCGUGUAGGCGGUCCGGUAAGUCCGCUGUGAAAGUCGGGGGCUCAACCCUCGGAUGCCGGUGGAUACUGUCGGGCUUGAGUACGGAAGAGGCGAGUGGAAUUCCUGGUGUAGCGGUGAAAUGCGCAGAUAUCGAGAGGAACACCUGCGGCGAAGGCGGCUACCUGGACAGAAACUGACGCUGAGGCACGAAAGCUAGGGGAGCAAACAGG
rnacentral:rRNA from 1 species